CCGUGCUAAAUGGGGAAUUAGCGGUGCCUUGUAACCUGCAAUCCGCUAUAGCAGGAUUGAAGCUUUUGCUAGGCUUGUACCUUUUAAUUUUUGAAGGAAGAAUUAAUAUUGAUAUGCAGAUCUUUUGCAAUAUAUAUAGGAUGAAUCCCGUCAGGCCUGAAAAGGAGCAGCGGUAAGUUUAAGUAUAUAUGUGUGGAGGUAAUCUACAUUGAGUUUUUUCUUUCUAUCAAAGUUAUUUUGGGGAAAGUCGAACAUUAGUGCACGG
rnacentral:SRP_RNA from 1 species